rnacentral:misc_RNA from 1 species
ACCAGCCGUGAAGGUCGCCCUGAAAAGGGAAUGACCUCUCACCCGGCCACCCUUGCUUACUUUAACCUGUUGCUUUGGUGGGCCCGCCGUGAGGCCGUCGGGGAACUUGGGUUCCUGGGCCCGUGUCCAUCAAAGUUCUAACUGAACUCUGCAAGUUUCUAUGUUGUCUGAGCGUUAAAGCAUAACCUUUUA